GCUACCUGAUUCAGCGGCGGACGGGUGAGUAAUGCCUAGGAAUCUGCCCGAUAGUGGGGGACAACGUUUCGAAAGGAACGCUAAUACCGCAUACGUCCUACGGGAGAAAGUGGGGGAUCUUCGGACCUCACGCUAUCGGAUGAGCCUAGGUCGGAUUAGCUAGUUGGUGAGGUAAUGGCUCACCAAGGCGACGAUCCGUAACUGGUCUGAGAGGAUGAUCAGUCACACUGGAACUGAGACACGGUCCAGACUCCUACGGGAGGCAACAGUGGGGAAUAUUGGACAAUGGGCGAAAGCCUGAUCCAGCCAUGCCGCGUGUGUGAAGAAGGUCUUCGGAUUGUAAAGCACUUUAAGUUGGGAGGAAGGGCAGUAAGCUAAUACCUUGCUGUUUUGACGUUACCAACAGAAUAAGCACCGGCUAACUUCGUGCCAGCAGCCGCGGUAAUACGAAGGGUGCAAGCGUUAAUCGGAAUUACUGGGCGUAAAGCGCGCGUAGGUGGUUCAGCAAGUUGGAUGUGAAAUCCCCGGGCUCAACCUGGGAACUGCAUCCAAAACUACUGAGCUAGAGUACGGUAGAGGGUGGUGGAAUUUCCUGUGUAG
rnacentral:rRNA from 1 species